rnacentral:rRNA from 1 species
AUUGAACGCUGGCGGCAUGCUUUACACAUGCAAGUCGAACGGUAACAGGCCGCAAGGUGCUGACGAGUGGCGAACGGGUGAGUAAUGCAUCGGAACGUGCCCAGUCGUGGGGGAUAACGCAGCGAAAGCUGCGCUAAUACCGCAUACGAUCUAUGGAUGAAAGCGGGGGACCGUAAGGCCUCGCGCGAUUGGAGCGGCCGAUGUCAGAUUAGGUAGUUGGCGGGGUAAAGGCUCACCAAGCCAACGAUCUGUAGCUGGUCUGAGAGGACGACCAGCCACACUGGGACUGAGACACGGCCCAGACUCCUACGGGAGGCAGCAGUGGGGAAUUUUGGACAAUGGGCGCAAGUCUGAUCCAGCAAUGCCGCGUGCAGGAAGAAGGCCUUCGGGUUGUAAACUGCUUUUGUACGGAACGAAACGGUCCUGGUUAAUACCUGGGGCUAAUGACGGUACCGUAAGAAUAAGCACCGGCUAACUACGUGCCAGCAGCCGCAGUAAUAC